AAAUCCCAGACUACAUCCUGUAGGCCUUAGAUGUUGUUUGUCUCUGUAAGCAAUUUAGGGCCAUAAUGAUUUUGUGACUUGUUAUGCUAAUUAGCAUGGCAUUCCCAGUCUGUGAGCUGUGGCUGUAGAUUUAUUGGCUGGUUGGCUGGGAGGGAGAGAGAACAGAAAAGAAGGAUACCUGCAAAUCCUCAAGCCUGCUACAUGUAAUGGGAGAGCAGGAGCUGGAAAUGGCUAUGCCAGUAAGGUGGAUAUUUGACGGGAGAGGCACAAAUGUGUCCAGCCAAUGGAACCUGGCGUCUGCUUGCAUGCCCAUCAACACCGUGGACUCCUACACAUAAACGGAUUUUCAAACAUGUAACGGAGAAAACUAAGCAGAUCUAUUUAUGACUGAUCCAUCUGAUACGCAGAGACAUGUGCUUGUUGGUUUCCUUUUGACUAAAUCGCUCUCCCUAAAGAGUCACGGAUUUCAAAUUAA